rnacentral:rRNA from 1 species
GUGGGGAAUAUUGGACAAUGGGGGGAACCCUGAUCCAGCGACGCCGCGUGAGUGAAGAAGUAUUUCGGUAUGUAAAGCUCUAUCAGCAGGGAAGAAGAAAGACGGUACCUGACUAAGAAGCCCCGGCUAACUACGUGCCAGCAGCCGCGGUAAUACGUAGGGGGCAAGCGUUAUCCGGAUUUACUGGGUGUAAAGGGAGCGUAGACGGUAGUGCAAGUCUGAAGUGAAAGGCGGGGGCCCAACCCCCGGACUGCUUUGGAAACUGUGCAGCUGGAGUGCAGGAGAGGUAAGUGGAAUUCCUAGUGUAGCGGUGAAAUGCGUAGAUAUUAGGAGGAACACCAGUGGCGAAGGCGGCUUACUGGACUGUAACUGACGUUGAGGCUCGAAAGCGUGGGGAGCAAACAGG